AGCGCUGAUGUCGACUCCAGCCUGGGCCACUUUGUUAAAGCUAUCUGACAGAGCCCAAACCCUGCGCACACUACAGCUAACACGUCAUGAUCGGUUUGCAUCUCAGUUUCAUUUGAUUUUCGCUCUUUUGUUUCUCGUCUCGGUCUCCGUGCAUCUCUCCCGUCCUGAGGGCAGUUGUGCUAGCUGGCCAGUGGCCUGAGGAAUUCACAACAGCAAAAACUUCAGACAUGGAACGCUGGACGUAUGCCUGUGGUUAGCUGUGGAAGUGGCCGCAGUGUCCGUCUCAUGGCCCCUGACCAGCUGUCCUCGUUCCUCUGCUGGGUCGAAGGGAACGCUCCUUCAGACCAGCAGAGGAACACCACUCCAUACCCUCGCCUUCUCUGGCUGCCCAAACACGCCUCUUGCCUGCUGAAGAUUAAUGUUUCAGGCCUGACCCUGCUGGGCAGCUGACUACAGGAGAAUAGAUGGGUCAGAGAAGCCAGGCUUGGUGAC